rfam:Myotis brandtii contig259138, whole genome shotgun sequence.
ACCGGUUUGGCUCAGUGGAUAGAGCAUCGGCCUGUGGAUUGAAGGGUCCCGGGUUUGAUUCCCGGAUCAGGGG